rnacentral:rRNA from 1 species
CCUACGGGAGGCAGCAGUGAGGAAUAUUGGACAAUGGGCGCAAGCCUGAUCCAGCCAUGCCGCGUGCAGGAAGACGCAUCUAUGGUGUGUAAACUGCUUUUGUACGGGAAGAAACACUCCCUCGUGAGGGAGCUUGACGGUACCGUAAGAAUAAGGAUCGGCUAACUCCGUGCCAGCAGCCGCGGUAAUACGGAGGAUCCAAGCGUUAUCCGGAAUCAUUGGGUUUAAAAGGGUCCGUAGGCGGUUUAAUAAGUCAGUGGUGAAAGCCCAUCGCUCAACGAUGGAACGGCCAUUGAUACUGUUAGACUUGAAUUACUAGGAAGUAACUAGAAUAUGUAGUGUAGCGGUGAAAUGCUUAGAUAUUACAUGGAAUACCAAUUGCGAAGGCAGGUUACUACUAGUGGAUUGACGCUGAUGGACGAAAAGCGUGGGGAGCGAACAGGAUUAGAUACCCUGGUAGUCCACGCCGUAAACGAUGGAUACUAGCUGUUGGGCGGCAAAGUUCAGUGGNGUAAGACGAAGUAGAGUAAGUAAGUACCGACCGUACGGGAGGUAAGGUUACGUCGAAGAAAGUAAGUUAAACGUUAAAAGUUAAAGUUAAGUUAGUUACGGCGAGAGAGAGACGACGGACGACGACGACGGGAGGAGGAG